AAAUCUCUCUCCCCCAAUCCCAACCCCGCCGCCGGCGGCCUCUACCCCACCCUCACCUUCUGUCCCAAGGGAAAGCCCAGGCCAUAGCGGGGCUUCCGGAUCCGCGCGCCGGCGUCGAGCUUUGCCACCACGGAGGAGGAAGGGUUCGGCUGCACAACCACCCGCCCGCCGGGAGAGGAGGAGUUGGUGGGAUGUCGCGUGCCAUGGAGAUGGAGCACCUCCUCCUCAACCACGCAGCCAUGGAGAUGGAGCUCCUCCUCUUCCUCUUCCUCCUCAACCACGCAGCCAUGGAGAUGAACGCGCCAAGGCCAUCACCAGGCUGCUCCGGGUGUCAAGGAGGAGAAGCUGCUCAGCAUCACCACCACCAUCAAGAUCGCCAGCUUCCUCCGUGUUGUUUAUCACCGUGUACAGACCUCCCUUGCCGGCCGUCGGCGUAGCGGCGCGGAGGACCGGCAACUUGCAGCAGCAACAGCAGCAGGUUUUUGCUCAUGACAGCCAUAACCCAACUAAAGAUAAAGAGAGGAUCACAAUGUAAGCUCACCACCAAGUUGAUUUUGAUUGCCGCCCACUACAAGGACAGCAGCUCACGAGCUUGCUCUUGGUUCAGUGGGCUUGGAGAAACGUGUCUUCAAAUGUCAUAACGCAACAGCUCAAAGCCCAACUAAAGAGAGGAUCAGAAUGUAAGCUCACCAGUGAGUUGAUUUUUAUUGCCGCCCACUACAAGGGCAUCAGCUCUUGGAUCAGUGGGCUAGGAGAAAUGAGUCUGCAAAUGUCACAACGCAACAGCUCAAAGAUUAUCUGGCCGAGAAGCGACAGGGACAUCAGCCUGGAGGGAGCUCUGCAUGCUCCACUAUAAGCAGUACGAAAACACCAUGUCUGGGCCGCAUUGUUGUUGCUGGGCGCGCCUUUGGGGACCAUGCCGUCAUGAGCUUGGGCGGCGAAGCAGGCUUUCCGAUGCCUCCAGCGCUACGGUUCAUCCACUCCGGUAUAGGUAAGCCACUCGCUUCAUCACCCUUGCUCUCUGCCUUUUAAUAUGUUAUCUUUACUUGCAAGUAUGCUACCCCUUCCAUUUCCAUUGGAAGAAAGGUUCCACCUUGUUGUGAUGUUCCAUCUCUCGUCCGAUGGUUACUCAAAUUCAAGGUUCACAUGUAUUGUUGGUUCAUUCUCAAGCUUAGGCUUGCAUAGUCUUUGAAAUUGUCAAAGGAUUACCUACCAGCUUCCUAGAUAAUUGAAGCAUCCUUUUCCUUUCAUAUUGUUCUACAUUAAUAUGAAAUCUUUUUUUAUGAAUGGUCCACGGCAACCAAAUAUGUUCUCUAUUAGAUGAUUAAGCCGAAUGUAUGGGUACUUCAUCAAGGCCUAUAGCAAUGUGAAUUUUUAAUCUUGUUGAACUGUAACUAGGUACACAUGGAAC